UAGGAGAAUGACUAUCUAUGCUCGAACAUAAGAAGCUGACAAAAUACUCAUUGGUCAGAUGAGAGUCGGUUUAUGUUUCGACCAGUAGACGCCAUAAUACGAAUUUCGCAGGGAAAUAAUACGGCUUAUAACCAAAACAACAUUUGCCCAAGGAUUUCAUUCGGUCCUGGUGGUGUUACAGUACGGGGUUGCUUCUUAUACCGUUGUAAGCCGGGUAUGCAUAUCCUGCAGGGUCACAUAAACGGACAGACAUACAGAGAUUUAUUGCCUAAAAACAUUGUAGUCC
rnacentral:lncRNA from 1 species